rnacentral:rRNA from 1 species
GACGAACCGUGCGAACGUUGUUCGGAAUCACUGGGCUUAAAGGGCGCGUAGGCGGGCUGUCGCGUCUGGGGUGAAAUCCUCCGGCUCAACCGGGGAAGGGCCUCGGGUACGGACGGCCUCGAGGGGGGUAGGGGCGUGCGGGAACUGUGGGUGGAGCGGUGAAAUGCGUUGAUAUCCACAGGAACUCCGGUGGCGAAGGCGGCACGCUG